rnacentral:rRNA from 1 species
CGGACACACGAGGCUAACCCUUUAUUUUUACUUUUAUGUAAACUAAGAUACAAGUGCAAACGCUUGUAUAAAACAGAAAGACGAGAAGACCCUAUAGAGCUUUACCGCUACCCUAAUAAUUAAAUUUGAGGGUCAAGGUUUAGUUGGGGCAACUAUAACUCAUACUAGAAGUACUAUUGUUAAAUUCACCCUCAACAGACCCCCAGUCAGUUUUUUAAGCGACCCUAUUAUGAUCACAGAACAUAGCUACCUUAGGGAUAACAGGCUGGUUUCUUUUGAGAGUCCCUAUUAACAAAGAAGAUCGGCACCUCGAUGUUGGCUUAGGAUACCCUGUAGGUGCAGGCGCUUAUAAGGUGGGUUUGUUCAACCCAUAAAAUCCCU